AUUGAACGCUGGCGGCAUGCCUUACACAUGCAAGUCGAACGGUAACAGGUUAAGCUGACGAGUGGCGAACGGGUGAGUAAUGUAUCGGAACGUGCCCAGUCGUGGGGGAUAACUACUCGAAAGAGUGGCUAAUACCGCAUACGACCUGAGGGUGAAAGCGGGGGACCGUAAGGCCUCGCGCGAUUGGAGCGGCCGAUAUCAGAUUAGCUAGUUGGUGGGGUAAAAGCCCACCAAGGCGACGAUCUGUAGCUGGUCUGAGAGGACGACCAGGCACACUGGGACUGGGACACGGCCCAGACUCCUACGGGAGGCAGCAGUGGGGAAUUUUGGACAAUGGACGCAAGUCUGAUCCAGCCAUGCCGCGUGCGGGAAGAAGGCCUUCGGGUUGUAAACCGCUUUUGUCAGGGAAGAAACGAGUUUCUCUAAUACAGAGACUUAAUGACGGUACCUGAAGAAUAAGCACCGGCUAACUACGUGCCAGCCGCCGCGGUAAAAC
rnacentral:rRNA from 1 species